UGAGGAAUAUUGCACAAUGGGCGCAAGCCUGAUGCAGCAACGCCGCGUGCGGGACGAAGGCCUUCGGGUCGUAAACCGCUUUUCUGGGGGAAGAGCAAGGACGGUACCUCAGGAAUAAGUCUCGGCUAACUACGUGCCAGCAGCCGCGGUAAAACGUAGGAGGCGAGCGUUAUCCGGAUUUACUGGGCGUAAAGCGCACGCAGGCGGCUCUGUUAGUCGGACGUGAAAGCUCUCGGCUUAACCGGGAGAGGCCGUUCGAUACUGCGGGGCUUGAGGUAGGGAGAGGAAUGCGGAAUUCCCGGUGUAGUGGUGGAAUGCGUAGAUAUCGGGAGGAACACCUGUGGCGAGAGCGGCAUUCUGGCCCUCACCUGACGCUGAGGUGCGAAAGCGUGGGUAGCAAACA
rnacentral:rRNA from 1 species